rnacentral:rRNA from 1 species
CCUACGGGAGGCUGCAGUAGGGAAUAUUGCUCAAUGGGGGAAACCCUGAAGCAGCAACGCCGCGUGGAGGAUGAAGGUUCUCGGAUUGUAAACUCCUUUUGUUAGAGAAGAUAAUGACGGUAUCUAACGAAUAAGCACCGUCUAACUCCGUGCCAGCAGCCGCGGUAAUACGGAGGGUGCAAGCGUUACUCGGAAUCACUGGGCGUAAAGCGCGUGUAGGCGGGAUAGCAAGUCAGAUGUGAAAUCCUAUGGCUUAACCAUAGAACUGCAUUUGAAACUGUUAUUCUAGAGUAUGGGAGAGGUAGGUGGAAUUCUUGGUGUAGGGGUAAAAUCCGUAGAGAUCAAGAGGAAUACUCAUUGCGAAGGCGACCUGCUAGAACAUAACUGACGCUGAUGCGCGAAAGCGUGGGGAGCAAACAGGAUUAGAUACCCCGGUAGUC